AGAGUUUGAUCCUGGCUCAGGAUGAACGCUAGCUACAGGCUUAACACAUGCAAGUCGAGGGGAAACGACAUCGAAAGCUUGCUUUUGAUGGGCGUCGACCGGCGCACGGGUGAGUAACGCGUAUCCAACCUGCCCAUCACUUGGGGAUAACCUUGCGAAGGUAAGACUAAUACCCAAUGACGUCUCUAGAAGACAUCUGAAAAGAGAUUAAAGAUUUAUCGGUGAUGGAUGGGGAUGCGUCUGAUUAGCUUGUUGGCGGGGUAACGGCCACCAAGGCGACGAUCAGUAGGGGUUCUGAGAGGAAGGUCCCCCANAUUGGAACUGAGACACGGUCCAAACUCCUACGGGAGGCA
rnacentral:rRNA from 1 species